rnacentral:rRNA from 1 species
UACGUAGGGGGCGAGCGUUGUCCGGAUUCAUUGGGCGUAAAGAGCUCGUAGGCGGCUUGGCAAGUCGGAUGUGAAAACUCCAGGCUCAACCUGGAGCCGCCAUUCGAUACUGCUAUGGCUAGAGUCCGGUAGGGGAGUGUGGAAUUCCCGGUGUAGCGGUGAAAUGCGCAGAUAUCGAGAGGAACACCUGCGGCGAAGGCGGGUAGCUGGGCCGACACUGACGCUGAGGCGCGAAAGCCAGGGGAGCGAACGGG